rnacentral:lncRNA from 1 species
UGUUGGCGUUUCAAUUAUUACGUGCUAGAUAUUUAUUCUAUAUGUUUCCCUUUACUUUUACGGAAAUAUGUAGCUGAAAAUUUCUGGUGAUUAAACUUGUGAUAUACACUCUGCAGGUUAAGUAUGGAGAUACACUUAGGCGCUUUAAUGCUCGUGUUGAUGAAAAUGAAAAGUUGGAUCUCGACAUUGAUGGAUUGAGGGCAAAGAUCAAAAGUCUCUUUAAUUUUCCUCAUGAUUCUGAUCUUACACUUACUUAUGUUGAUGAAGAUGGUGACAUAGUAACUCUUGUUGAUGAUGAUGAUCUGUGUGAUGUAAUGAGGCAGCGUCUUAAGUUCUUGAGGAUUGAUGUGCACCUGAACAAUGACAAAUUUGGUAAAGCUUAUGCUAGAUCAAGUGGAAGUUCUACUCCCUUGAGAUCCCCGCGAAUCCAGCAUCCAUUACCUGACAUCGACAGU